UUCAUAAUGUAAUGGGAAUGAGAGUGUGAUUGUGAUGAAGUUCGCUUGCACUGAGAAUUGAACCUGGGCCAUCUAGUCUGACAUCAGGAUCAUUACCAUAAGACUAGAAUAUCUAAACCAGCUGAGCUGGCUGGUAAACAUUUCUACACACCUAACACCCCACAUGUAUUGAUGCCUAUCAUGCAAGUAACAGGUGUGUGAUUUAUUGCAGCAUUUCUCCUAGAACCAGUACUGCUAUUCGGAAACAGAGUGGCAUGUUAAAGUCUAUACAGUAAUGGACAUCCUGGUUGACAGAUAUCUCUGCAGACUCUGUUAUAACAGACUCAUCAAUGUAUUAUUACAUGGAAGAGUAGUGUGUUAUCAGAAAAUAAAUAUAGCCCUAUACCAGUACUUAGGCUAAAUGCCAAAGUUGAGGACACAUGGAUGGAUCGUUGACGUUGCUGCCUUUUUUUUUUUUUUUCUUUUUUUUGUUGAAAUCAUGAAUGCGCUUCUGAUAGACCUUCAUUUCAACACUUUCGUUCGUAAAGAUUCUUAAAAACAAAUAAGUUUAAAUGUAAAUGUGUUUCUUUUUGUUACAAUGUAUCAUACUUACGUGAAAUAUCUAGAUCCCACACACACAAAAAAUAACCAAAAGCUUUCGUUACGCUUUAUAACACUUCAUAACAUUUGUUUACGUUGGAUUCGGGGUGUUCGUUUUUAAUGAAGUUGUUCUGUAUAUUAUUCGCCCUACUCAUUCGCAGAUGAUUUUACCCCCCCCCCCCCCC